CCUACGGGAGGCAGCAGUGGGGAAUAUUGCACAAUGGGGGAAACUCUGAUGCAGCGAUGCCGCGUGAGCGAAGAAGGAUUUCGGUAUGUAAAGCUCUUUCAGCUGGGAAGAAAAUGACGGUACCUGCGAAAGAAGCCCCGGCUAACUACGUGCCAGCAGCCGCGGUAAUACGUAUGGAGCAAGCGUUAUUCGGAUUUACUGGGCGUAAAGGGAGUGUAGGCGGCCUGGUAAGUUUGUGGUGAAAUACCGGGGCUCAACCCCGGGGCUGCAAUGGAAACUGGCAGGCUGGAGUGCCGGAGAGGCAAGCGGAAUUCCUAGUGUAGAGGUGAAAUGCGUAGAUAUUGGGAAGAACACCAGUGGCGAAGGCGGCUUACUGGACGUUAACUGACGUUGAGGCUCGAAAGCAUGGGGAGCAAACAGGAUUAGAUACCCCUGUAGUC
rnacentral:rRNA from 1 species